rnacentral:misc_RNA from 1 species
UCUCCGUAGGUGAACCUGCGGAGGGAUCAUUACAGAGUUCAUGCCCUACCGGGUAGAUCUCCCACCCUAGGUUAUUAUUACUUUGUUGCUUUGGCGGGCCGUUAGGCUCCGGCCCGACUACCGGCCCCGGCUGGUAAGCGCCCGCCAGAGGACCCAAAACCCUGAAUAUUAGUGUCGUCUGAGUACUAUAUAAUAGUUAAAACUUUCGACAACGGAUCUCUUGGUUCUG